rnacentral:rRNA from 1 species
UAGGGAAUCUUCCACAAUGGACGCAAGUCUGAUGGAGCAACGCCGCGUGAGUGAAGAAGGUUUUCGGACCGUAAAGCUCUGUUGUUGGUGAAGAAGGAUAGAGGUAGUAACUGGCCUUUAUUUGACGGUAAUCAACCAGAAAGUCACGGCUAACUACGUGCCAGCAGCCGCGGUAAUACGUAGGUGGCAAGCGUUGUCCGGAUUUAUUGGGCGUAAAGCGAGCGCAGGCGGAAGAAUAAGUCUGAUGUGAAAGCCCUCGGCUUAACCGAGGAAUUGCAUCGGAAACUGUUUUCUUGAGUGCAGAAGAGGAGAGUAGAACUCCAUGUGUAGCGGUGGAAUGCGUAGGUAUAUGGAAGAAUACCAGUGGCGAAGGCGGCUCUCUGGUCUGCAACUGACGCUGAGGCUCGAAAGCAUGGGUAGCGAACAGGAUUAGAUACCCUGGUAGUCCAUGCCGUAAACGAUGAGUGCUAAGUGUUGGGAGGCUUCCGCCUCUCAGUGCUGCAGCUAACGCAUUAAGCACUCCGCCUGGGGGAGUACGACCGCAAGGUUGAAAC